rnacentral:rRNA from 1 species
GAUGAACGCUGGCGGCGUGCCUAACACAUGCAAGUCGAGCGGCAGCGUGGGGUGCUUGCUCCCUGUCGGCGAGCGGCGGACGGCUGAGUAACGCGUGGGAACGUUCCCUAAAGUGAGGGGUUACUGCCCGCAAGGGUAGCCUAUACCCCAAAUUAUUAUCGGAUCAAAGGGUUUAUACGUUUUAGGAGCGGCUUGCGUCGGAUUAGGUAGUUGGUGAGGUAAUGGCUCACCAUGCCGACGAUCCGUAGCUGGUCUGAGAGGAUGACCAGCCAGACUGGAACUGAGACACGGUCCAGACUCCUACGGGAGGCAGCAGUGGGGAAUCUUCCACAAUGGGCGAAAGCCUGAUGGAGCAACGCCGCGUGAAGGAUGAAGGCCUUCGGGUUGUAAACUGCUUUUAUAAGUGAGGAAUAUGACGGUAACUGAUGAAUAAGGUUCGGCUAACUACGUG